rnacentral:rRNA from 1 species
GACGAACGCUGACGGUGUGCUUUAGACAUGCAAGUCGAACGAGAAAGCCCUUCGGGGUGAGUAGAGUGGCGAACGGGUGAGUAACACGUGGGUAACCUGCCCCUCGCAGAGGGAUAACCGGGGGAAACCCCGGCUAAUACCUCGUACGCUUGCCGGGUCGCAUGGCUUGGCAAGGAAAGGUAGCUUCGGCCAUCCGGCGAGGGAUGGGCCCGCGGUCCAUUAGCUAGUUGGUGAGGUAACGGCCCACCAAGGCGACGAUGGAUAGCUGGUCUGAGAGGAUGAUCAGCCACACUGGGACUGAGACACGGCCCAGACUCCUACGGGAGGCAGCAGUCGGGAAUCUUGCGCAAUGCGCGAAAGCGUGACGCAGCAACGCCGCGUGGGGGAAGACGGCCUUCGGGUUGUAAACCCCUUUCAGGAGGGACGAAGGUUCACCGGUGAAUAGCCGUGUGGAUUGACGGUACCUCCAGAAGAAGCUCCGGCUAACUACGUGCCAGCCGCCGCGGUAAA